UCAGAAACUACAAAGGAAGUUGACGGGGGCCCGGCACAAGCGGUGGAGCAUGUGGUUUAAUUCGAUGAUACGCGAGGAACCUUACCUGGGCUCAAAUGUAUGUUGACGUAUUCUGAAAGGGAUACUUCUUCGGACAAUAUACAAGGUGCUGCAUGGUUGUCGUCAGCUCGUGCCGUGAGGUGUCGGGUUAAGUCCCAUAACGAGCGCAACCCCUACUGCUAGUUGCCAGCGGGUCAUGCCGGGGACUCUAGCGGAACUGCCAGCGUAAGCUGCGAGGAAGGUGGGGAUGACGUCAAAUCAGCACGGCCCUUACGUCCAGGGCUACACACGUGUUACAAUGGCCAGUACAGAGGGCAGCCACCCCGCGAGGGGGCGCUAAUCCUAAAAGCUGGUCCCAGUUCGGAUCGGAGUCUGCAACCCGACUCCGUGAAGCUGGAUUCGCUAGUAAUCGCGCAUCAGCCACGGCGCGGUGAAUACGUUCCCGGGCCUU
rnacentral:rRNA from 1 species